AGAGUUUGAUCAUGGCUCAGAUUGAACGCUGGCGGCAGGCCUAACACAUGCAAGUCGAACGGUAACAGGAAACAGCUUGCUGUUUCGCUGACGAGUGGCGGACGGGUGAGUAAUGUCUGGGAAACUGCCUGAUGGAGGGGGAUAACUACUGGAAACGGUAGCUAAUACCGCAUAACGUCGCAAGACCAAAGAGGGGGACCUUCGGGCCUCUUGCCAUCAGAUGUGCCCAGAUGGGAUUAGCUAGUAGGUGGGGUAACGGCUCACCUAGGCGACGAUCCCUAGCUGGUCUGAGAGGAUGACCAGCCACACUGGAACUGAGACACGGUCCAGACUCCUACGGGAGGCAGCAGUGGGGAAUAUUGCACAAUGGGCGCAAGCCUGAUGCAGCCAUGCCGCGUGUAUGAAGAAGGCCUUCGGGUUGUAAAGUACUUUCAGCGGGGAGGAAGGAAGUAAAGUUAAUACCUUUGCUCAUUGACGUUACCCGCAGAAGAAGCACCGGCUAACUCCGUGCCAGCAGCCGCGGUAAUACGGAGGGUGCAAGCGUUAAUCGGAAUUACUGGGCGUAAAGCGCACGCAGGCGGUUUGUUAAGUCAGAUGUGAAAUCCCCGGGCUCAACCUGGGAACUGCAUCUGAUACUGGCAAGCUUGAGUCUCGUAGAGGGGGGUAGAAUUCCAGGUGUAGCGGUGAAAUGCGUAGAGAUCUGGAGGAAUACCGGUGGCGAAGGCGGCCCCCUGGACGAAGACUGACGCUCAGGUGCGAAAGCGUGGGGAGCAAACAGGAUUAGAUACCCUGGUAGUCCACGCCGUAAACGAUGUCGACUUGGAGGUUGUGCCCUUGAGGCGUGGCUUCCGGAGCUAACGCGUUAAGUCGACCGCCUGGGGAGUACGGCCGCAAGGUUAAAACUCAAAUGAAUUGACGGGGGCCCGCACAAGCGGUGGAGCAUGUGGUUUAAUUCGAUGCAACGCGAAGAACCUUACCUGGUCUUGACAUCCACGGAAGUUUUCAGAGAUGAGAAUGUGCCUUCGGGAACCGUGAGACAGGUGCUGCAUGGCUGUCGUCAGCUCGUGUUGUGAAAUGUUGGGUUAAGUCCCGCAACGAGCGCAACCCUUAUCCUUUGUUGCCAGCGGUCCGGCCGGGAACUCAAAGGAGACUGCCAGUGAUAAACUGGAGGAAGGUGGGGAUGACGUCAAGUCAUCAUGGCCCUUACGACCAGGGCUACACACGUGCUACAAUGGCGCAUACAAAGAGAAGCGACCUCGCGAGAGCAAGCGGACCUCAUAAAGUGCGUCGUAGUCCGGAUUGGAGUCUGCAACUCGACUCCAUGAAGUCGGAAUCGCUAGUAAUCGUGGAUCAGAAUGCCACGGUGAAUACGUUCCCGGGCCUUGUACACACCGCCCGUCACACCAUGGGAGUGGGUUGCAAAAGAAGUAGGUAGCUUAACCUUCGGGAGGGCGCUUACCACUUUGUGAUUCAUGACUGGGGUGAAGUCGUAACAAGGUAACCGUAGGGGGACCUGCGGUUG
rnacentral:rRNA from 1 species